CCCUUAGAUGUUCUGGGCCGCACACGCGCUACACUGAAGGAGGCAGCGUGUACUCCUGGAUCGAAAGAUUUGGGUAACCCGCGAAUCUCCUUCGUGCUAGGGAUUGAGGUUUGCAAUUAUCCUUCAUGAACCAGGAAUUCCCAGUAAGUGCAAGUCAUAAGCUUGCGCUGACUACGUCCCUGCCCUUUGUACACACCGCCCGUCGCUACUACCGAUUGAAUGAUUUAGUGAGGACUUCGGACUGGGACCGAUGCGGCUUUCGGGCUGCGUCGGUAUUCUGGAAAGAUGUCCAAACUGUAUCAUUUAGAGGAAGUAAAAGUCGUAACA
rnacentral:rRNA from 1 species